rnacentral:tRNA from 1 species
CAGGAUGUGGCGCAGUGAUCGUACCCGCUUUGGGAGCGGGGGCAUGAAUUCGAAUCUCGCCACCCCGACCA